GCCUCCUCGCAGUGUUGCUGGGCCACGUCAGGAAGUGCUGGAGGACGUGGCAUUGCACCAACACCAGGCGGCCAGCCGUGUGGCUCAUCCCGCAAAUCAGGCUCUUCCUGUGCAUGGAGAUGGAGUCCCUCUGGAGGCAGCCCGUGGCCCUGUUCUCGGGCAGGUGGAGCAUGGAGACGACUGGGAACUUCACUAGACACGCAUCCAGCCGGUUCAAGGGCUUGUCGCGCCGUGCACCAGCUUGCAGGAGAAAGCCCAACGCCUCGCCAAGCACGAAGGCCUCCCUUCCCGACUUGAUGAAGGCAGAGUAGCGGUUGAGGUUGCGGCUCACAGUGACCGAGCUCCUGCCCACGUGGGGACCCAGGGAGCCGUCGAGCUCCAGGUAUGCACCUCUGCCCAGUGCACCUGGAUCGUUCACCGUCAUGGAGCUGCCAUCCCACUUGUCGUCCCAGUCAUCAUCACUGCCCUAGCUGGCCUAGUUGCCACCAAGGAGCUGCUGAGGCCACGGCUUCAGGGCAUCCCUACCGCCUGGAAAUCCUGCGCUGGCUGCUGGAAGGCACUCUGUGGUGGCACCAGCUGCGGCUGCAGUAGCAGCUGGAAAGCACUGAGAGAUGGCUUCAAGGAGGCAGGCAGUGCACCGGGCAGGGCCUUGAAACCUCUGGGUGGUACAAUGGCCAUGGCACAGUGGGUCAAGGCACAGGGGCAGCCAUGGCGCGCUGGGCCAGUCCAGGGUUGCAGACCACUUGCACUGCAGAUAUAAGGCCAGGGUUGCUGAGGCCAUGAGCCCCUGCGAGUCAGCCCUUGAUGUCCUGCUCACUACACAGGCUCAGCACUUCAUGUUCU
rnacentral:lncRNA from 1 species